AGAUGAGAGAUACACCCGCCCACAGGGGACUGUGGGCGAUACCGGGCCGUCGCCUCCCCAGCUUCGACCUGGCCGUGCCUCGCGCACACCGGAGCCCCCGGGUUCCGGAUCUCCUCACCGAUCGGA
rnacentral:ncRNA from 1 species